GUUUUACAUUCUCCAACCUUUUUACUCUGAGCUUCACUGGAGGAUUCAUGACGAGAAAAGAGAUGACGCUGUGCAGAAAAAUGAUCUUUACCGCUGCAAAAUUUAUCCCUGCCAGAAACGCAAAAUGCUGCAGCACUUAAUUAAAGAAUAUAGAAAGUCACCAAAAUAUUAACAUUAAACCAUGGCCUCCGCCUCUCACUUUUUGCUUAAGAAUCUCACCAGAGGAGAAAUGACAGGAGGGAAGACAAUCUGAAUCUUUCUUCCCACCCCACCCCCAGUCCUCUGAAGAAAGACAUUGUUCAGCAAAUUAAACAGGAUUCAUUCCUUGAAGAAAAAGCACUGAUUCAAAGAGCCUAUAGAUAUUUAAUGGCCAAUCAGUAUUGCUCAGAGGGGAUCUCCUUGGCUUCAUGCAUCAACUGGGACGUAUGCUGUAUCCCUUUUCUGAAGAGCACCUUAUACAAAUGGAGGCUGUGGACACCACUUCACCUAAACUGAAGAUGUUAUUUUCUCAAACUUCAGUUCCCCAGAAUUCAUCAUGGCAUGGUCUUGGAUCAGACUCUUAGCAUCAAUGUCCUGGCAGGAUCAUCGUCUUCAUUUACAACAGGCUAUCCAAACAAGCUAUGUUCAGAUGAACACAAUAUCCAGACCAUCUACUGAUUUCCAUGGGUUCCUUGGCCAGCAGAAUGGGAACUACUGCAUCAGCUUGUGGAGACAGUGUGCACACAUCUUCAUGCACCACAGUUGUUGGUUCCUUAUUUUGUUUCCAAUAUUCCAAGUGGUUCCCAUCAUCGUCCACAGUUAAACCCUAGCUAAUUAAAACAUGGAUAUAUGAGAAGUGGGAUGAUUUGUGUGUGUGUGUGUGAGGAUAGGAAAGCCAGAAAACUUGAAGCUUAUUCUUUUUCUGUUUACUCACAGAUAUUCUCAAAUAUCUGUUUCUGACUCCUGCAGAAGGUUUGACAUGUAUCACUCUGUGGAGAAUAAAGCUGCAGCCAAAAGCUGCACUGUCUGUGCUCCCCAGAACCUCUGGAACUCCUUGGCCCCUUGUCCCACCUGAAAGGGGCAAGUGAGGGCCUGCCCAGCAAAAGCAGAAACUAGACAAGAAAUAGAGGGAGCCAAAAAAACAAAAAACAAAAAACAAAAAACAAACAAACAAACAAAAAAAACAAACAAACAAACAAAAAACAAAGAAAGAAAGGACCAUACUUGGGGAGCCAUACUUGGGGCAUUGGUUCCUGUAUCCUUCUUCCUACCUUCAGAAACCAACAGCACAGGAAGGCAGUGAGCUCUAGCCUGAGCCUGAAGGAGCCUGAUAGCUUCUGCUUGUGUUCUUCUGGAUCCCAGGCUGUUCUGUUGGAUGGAGAGUGACCAAGUAGAAGAGAACCAAGACACUCAGUUGACAGCUAAGCCCAGGCAUGUGAGUUAGGACAUCUUGGAGUUACCAACCUUGGGGAUGCCACAUAGACAAUCCUUUACCUGUGUUUCAAACAUCUCAGGCAACCUUCUCCUCCCACAUUCCCAAACCACAGAAUCAGAAACAAGAAAAUGGUGUUGUCUUGGGCUACUAAGUUUGAAAUGAUUUGUUAUGGAGCAUAGGCUGACACAUGAAGACAAUGCUGUUCUCCCUAAUUACUAUCCUAAAAAUCAAAUAUUAAAUACAGAAGCCUUUCUAAACUGAGAUGUGGUUUAAAAUGAAGAGAAUUAGUAGUACUAUGACUAAUACUUUAUAUAAAAUCUUGGCGCCCUUCACAUUACUGAGGGCAGGAAAGGAGAAGGAAACAAGGAGAUGAGGUACAUGUUUUAAUAAUUAU
rnacentral:lncRNA from 1 species